AUCUUCUUCUUCAUCAUCUUCUUGUGUUAUUAUUCAUAUAUUUUCAAGCUUUUUUUAUAUUUGUGAAAAUGUCUUGCUGUGGAGGAAACUGUGGCUGCGGCUCUGCCUGCAAGUGCAGCAGCGACUGCAGCGGGUGUAAGAUGUACCCUGACAUGGUGGAGACUGCUAAAACCACGGCUCAGACCCUUGUUCAAGGAGUUGCGCCCCAGAAAAAGGAGAAUGGGGGAGCUAAGGAGGGAUGCCAUUGCGGGCCAAACUGCCAAUGCGACCCCUGCACCUGCAACUAACUCAGGAGCCAGGAGGGGCGCCAUAUAUAAGAGGGCGGAGAAUUAAAAGUGAAGAGGAUUCCGCAGUGUCUGUCUGCAUAUCCGUUCCCCUAGCCUAGCCUGGAAUAAGAGUGUAGUGUAGUAUGUAUGUUUGUUUGUUCUUUUGAGUUAUCUUGUGUGUUAGGUUGAUCGAAGGCUGAUCUCACAGUCUCUGCUUCUAUAUCUACUUAUCAAGUUAUCGCCGAUAGUGCGAUUAAAUAAAUAUUUAAUUUUUA